UAGGGAAUCUUCCGCAAUGGGCGAAAGCCUGACGGAGCAACGCCGCGUGAGUGAUGAAGGUCUUCGGAUCGUAAAACUCUGUUAUUAGGGCAGCACAAAUGUGUAAGUAACUAUGCACGUCUUGACGGUACCUACUCAGAAAGCCACGGCUAACUACGUGCCAGCAGCCGCGGUAAUACGUAGGUGGCAAGCGUUAUCCGGAAUUAUUGGGCGUAAAGCGCGCGUAGGCGGUUUUUUAAGUCUGAUGUGAAAGCCCACGGCUCAACCGUGGAGGGUAAUUGGAAACUGGAAAACUUGAGUGCAGAAGAGGAAAGUGGAAUUCCAUGUGUAGCGGUGAAAUGCGCAGAGAUAUGGAGGAACACCAGUGGCGAAGGCGACUUUCUGGUCUGUAACUGACGCUGAUGUGCGAAAGCGUGGGGAUCAAACAGG
rnacentral:rRNA from 1 species